rnacentral:rRNA from 1 species
CCUACGGGAGGCAGCAGUGGGGAAUAUUGCACAAUGGGGGAAACCCUGAUGGUGCGACGCCGCGUGGGGGAAUGAAGGUCUUCGGAUUGUAAACCCCUGUCAUGUGGGAGCAAAUUAAAAAGAUCGUACCCCAACAGGAAGAGACGGCUAACUCUGUGCCAGCAGCCGCGGUAAUACAGAGGUCUCAAGCGUUGUUCGGAAUCACUGGGCGUAAAGCGUGCGUAGGCUGUUUCGUAAGUCGUGUGUGAAAGGCGCGGGCUCAACCCGCGGACGGCACAUGAUACUGCGAGACUAGAGUAAUGGAAGGGGAACCGGAAGUCUCGGUGUAGCAGUGAAAGGCGUAGAUGUCGAGAGGAACACUCGUGGCGAAGGCGGGUUCCUGGACAUUAACUGACGCUGAGGCACGAAGGCCAGGGGAGCGAAAGGGAUGAGGUACCCCAGUAGUC